rnacentral:tRNA from 1 species
GGUCCGUUGGUCAAGGGGUUAAGACACCACCUUUUCACGGCGGUAACACGGGUUCGAAUCCCGUACGGACUA